UUAAUAGAUUUUCCCACUUCCCAUUUGGUGAUCUUUAUAUAAGUUGUAUAUUUUUUUUAUUUUUCUUAAAAGUAGAACUAAGACGCUAAAAAAGUAUUAUUUCUUUCCUAUCUUAUAAGGGCAGUAUAGAAGAAAAUACUUGAUCUCAUUUCAAUUUGCUUUUAUAACAAAUAGGAUGAAAGAACUGAAAUUCAAUCUCUAUGACAUAAAAUUUUGUUAAUGGACUUUUCCUUUAAGAUUUGGUUCUAAACCAUAAGAGGUGUUUGUAGUCAAUAGUCAUUGUGCAUUUGGGUGAACAAUUCUCUGGCUAUCCCACAUCGAAAGCCAAUAUAAAAAUGAAUUGUUUAAAUUGGCUUCAGUUUACCACCAAGAAACGCCGGGCCUGGUAACGUGGGCUUGUGACUCAAGUGAGGGCAUGAAGGUGGUUGAAGGUUGGUUUGGCUGGAGAGGUAGGGUGCGCUGGGGUUGAGACACUGGCUCGCCCGUUCCAAGUGGGGAGUUUGAAUCUUGUGAUCCGACCGAAGGGUUGGGUGACGUGGUUCCUAGAGUGGAGGGCACCGCGUGAGGCUGGAUUCACAGAGCAGCGUUCACCUCCCGCUCCCUUCGGUGGAAGGAUAACGUGCUGGUACUCCACGGGCCCAACGACGCCUCCUCAGCCGCUCACAACCCGACAACCACUUUUUCCCUCUUUUUAUUUUUCCUUCAUUCCAGCCAGUGGUGGAACAAUUGACAUUCAGAGUGAAAUAUCAUGGAAGAGAAGGCUUCACCAGAAUCCUAUAGAUUGUUGUGAUGACUUGAAGCAAAGAAGCUCCAAGCAAAUUGCCUCAACGUGGAGCUCUCUUUUCUCUUUCUGCUGUGAUCAAUCACAAUCCACAUGCGAAAUUUCCCAGGUCUGCAUGGGGCUGAAUGUUGGUGGACUGAGAGGUGGGCACUGUGACAAGAAUGGAUGCAAAAGCUUUGGCUACAUUAAGGGGGAAAAAAAAUAAAGCAAGGGCCUAGGAUAUUGCCAUCAUCUGUCACAGCUGCUUAUGGCACCUUCUUCAGAAGGAUCACUUGUUUUUAGCUGAUUGAGGUUUCCAACUUAGUUGGGGAUGUGGCAGUUCUCUUGCUGAUUUAUCUUCUGGGGCAUGUCAAUGAGUAAAGGGUUGUUUGGUAAGUCUUGUAUGGUAUGGGAUGGAGCCUUCUCUAUCUGACAUCUUUGUUGCUUUGAUCUCUGUUCUAUUGAAGGCAUGGUCUUUUCUGGAGGCAUGAACAAGCAGCUAUAGAUGUCCUGAUGGAAGCUUAUACCCUUGUACUCUCGGGAAGGAAAUAUUCUCUAUCAGGUUAUAUCAAACUCAUUAAGUCCAUUAUCC